AAGUCGUAACAAGGUUUCCGUAGGUGAACCUGCGGAAGGAUCAUUAUUGAAAAUAAACUUGAUAGGUUGCUGCUGGUUCUCUCGGGAGCAUGUGCACACUUGUCAUCUUUAUAUCUCCACCUGUGCACCUUUUGUAAAUCUGAAUAUCUUUCUGAAUGCCCCGCCAUUUCAGGUUUGAGGAUUGAUUUUUUCUCUCCUUACAUUUUCAGGUUUAUGUUUUUCAUUAUACCCCAUGUAUGUUUAUAGAAUGUAAGAAAUGGGCCCUUUGUGCCUAUAAAUUUAUACAACUUUCAGCAACGGAUCUCUUGGCUCUC
rnacentral:misc_RNA from 1 species